rnacentral:rRNA from 1 species
UACGGGAGGCAGCAGUGGGGAAUAUUGCACAAUGGGCGCAAGCCUGAUGCAGCCAUGCCGCGUGUAUGAAGAAGGCCUUCGGGUUGUAAAGUACUUUCAGUCGUGAGGAAGGUGUUAAGGUUAAUAACCUUAGCAAUUGACGUUAGCGACAGAAGAAGCACCGGCUAACUCCGUGCCAGCAGCCGCGGUAAUACGGAGGGUGCGAGCGUUAAUCGGAAUUACUGGGCGUAAAGGGCACGCAGGCGGUUAAUUAAGUUGGAUGUGAAAUCCCCGGGCUUAACCUGGGAAUGGCAUUCAAGACUGGUUAGCUAGAGUCUUGUAGAGGGGGUUAGAAUUCCAUGUGUAGCGGUGAAAUGCGUAGAGAUGUGGAGGAAUACCGGUGGCGAAGGCGGCCCCUGGACAAAGACUGACGCUCAUGUGCGAAAGCGUGGGGAGCAAACAGGGAUUAGAU